GAUGAACGCUGGCGGCGUGCCUAAUACAUGCAAGUCGAGCGAACAGAUAAGGAGCUUGCUCCUUUGAAGUUAGCGGCGGACGGGUGAGUAACACGUGGGUAACCUACCUAUAAGACUGGGAUAACUUCGGGAAACCGGAGCUAAUACCGGAUAACAUUUAGAACCGCAUGGUUCUAAAGUGAAAGAUGGUUUUGCUAUCACUUAUAGAUGGACCCGCGCCGUAUGAGCUAGUUGGUAAGGUAACGGCUUACCAAGGCGACGAUACGUAGCCGACGUGAGAGAGGGAUCGGCCACACUAGAGCUGGGACGGGGUCCAGGCGCCUGCGGGAGGCAGCAGUAGGGAAUGUUACGCAAUAGGGGAGAGCCUGACGGAGCAACGCCGCGUGAGAGAUAGAGAGUUUCGGCUCGUGAAACUCUGUUAUUAGGGAAGAACAAAUGUGUAAGUAGCUGUGCACAUCUUGACGGUACCUAGUCAGAAAGCCACGGCUAACUACGUG
rnacentral:rRNA from 1 species